CAAAAAAAUUAGCCGGGCAUGGUGGCAGACUGGUCUCAAACUCCUGACCUCAAGUGAUCCACCUGCCUCAGCCUCCCAAAGUGCUGGGAUUAUAGUCGUGAGCCACCACGCCUGGCCAGAGUUUUUUAUUUUUAUCACCACCAUAGAUGUUACAGUUGGCUGUGGUCACAAAAGUAGUUAAUUGUGUCAGCACCCAAAUAAACAUCUAACAGGUUUCUCAACAGAGGAAUCCACAGUCCAAUUCCACUUCAAUUGAUAGACCCAAAAAAUAUAAUUUAAUCAAAGUUCUAGAGUUUUUGUUUGUUUGUUUGAGAUGGAGUCUUGCUCUGUCGCCCAGGCUGGAACGCAGUGGUGACAUCUCGGCUCACUGCAACCUCCACCUCCCAGGUUCAAGUGAUUCUCCUGCCUCAGCCUCCUGAGUAGCUGGGACUACAGGCGCCUGCCACCACGCCCAGCUAAUUUUUGUAUUUUUAGUAGAGAUGGGGUUUCACCAUGUUGGCCAGGAUGGUCUUGAUCUCUUGACCUCGUGAUCUGCCUGCCUCGGCCUCCCAAAGUGCUGGCAUUACAGGCAUGAGCCACCAUGCCUGGCCCAAAGUUCUAGAAUUUUUUAAAGGUAUUCAUGGUGACUCAGGAAUACACACAUACACACACACACACACACACACACACACACACAUACACACAUAUAAUUUGAAAGAGGUGAGUAUGUACUCUGACUUCAGCUCUCAGGUUUUAAAAAUUAUAUUAGUGGGACCAGUUAUGACAAGAAUAAUCAUUAUAGUACUUUUCAGAUUUUAUAACCUGGAGCAGAUUAUUUUAAGUUGAUUAGUAGGUUCUGUUACAGUUUUUCUUUUGAUCGUGCACUUAUAGUCUUCAUUUAAUUCCUCAUAGAAUCCCAGUCACCUUUAUAUAUCAUAUUAUUGGAAGAGAUUCAUCUUCAUAAUCUCCAGUUUUUUCACAGUGCCUCACAGAGUUAAUCAUGCCUUUUGGAGCUAGAAGGACUUUAGAACUUAUCUAGUUAUGCUCCUUUAUAUUAUAAGUAAGGGAAUAGAAUCAAUAAGACAGUUUCUGCCCAAAGUCAUGUUACCAGUUGGUGACAGAGCUGGAAAUACGUAGAGAUCUAUACCCUUAAAUCUCUCCACUCACAUGCUGAUAUACUUUCUACUACAAUAUGCUAUAGCUUUAUGGAACUCAGGGUGAUGAUCAGACGUGUCAUUAGAACAUGAGUCCUCUGCUUCUGAUUCAGGCAUACUUUUGGGAUUCUUCCAUCUUUAAAGGAAAAAGGAAGCCAUUCAUCUAUAUUUAGUAACCCAGUAAUAUCUCACUUAGUUUAGGGUUAGAUCUUUAGUUAAUUCAACCUUAUAGAUCAUACUUAUGAAGGUGAUAACUGACACGUGUUCACUGAAUUUUAAUUUGAUAGGCAAUACAUCUACCCACUCCAUUAUUUUUUAAAACUUCAUUUAAUAGUUUAAACAAGAUUGGUUUUGUUUUCAAUUUUUAUUCACUCUUCAUAGAAUCACAAUUACCUUUAUAUAUCAUAUGUUAUUGGAAGAGAUUCCUCAGUAAUCUCCAAUCUCUCAUAGUGCCUCACAGGGUUGGUCAAUGGCUUUUGGAACUGGAAGGACCUUAGAACUUAUCUGUUAUGCUCCUGAUAGCCAAUAGCAGAUAGAAGCUUGCAAUCAAGAGGGUAGGACAUGUGUUCUUCAAUGGAUAUCAAAGGAAGAGGUUGCAAACCAAAGCCAUUUGGCAAGCCCUGUAGCCUGGGCCAUUUAAGACAGGGGCGGUCUCAGCCAAAUUGCACCCAUUUAACUAUCCCAAAGAGCCACAGUGCCUACAACCCAGGCCCUAAGUUGAUGAAGAAAAAGUCAAGGAAGGAGGUGAUACAAUUGGAAAUAUUCCCAUCAAAUGGUUAAUCUUAUUUAGAAAAUGGGCAUAUUAGAAAAAGUCCUUCCAAGAUGAUUUUGGAUAAUAAAAGUUGUAUUUGUGGAAAUUGGUAUUAUCUCUGUUUUAUGCACUUACAUUUAUCCCUUACAUUUUGUUUUUAGUGACCCUACAUGACAUUAAAUUUAAAGUAAAACAUUGUUUAAUGUUACCUUUUGGCUUGAGAAUGUCUUUCAGCUCCAGAAUUAUUGUUACUCAUAUUUUAAUCAGUAAGUCAUUUAAGCUAUGACAGAGUAGGAAUUGAGAAAUUAUUUCAUAUGCUACAGUAUUGAAAUGUGGAUGCUGCCUUGUUUUAUAAGAAGAUGAUCAAGGUUUGUGUGCCCAUUACCUUUCCUCUGCCUGAAAGACGUGUCUCAAGAAAAAUAAAUUCUAUUUUAGAUGCAGGUACUGCAUUUUAUUCUAAGAAUUGAUAUCAAUUCAAAACAUAGAAAACUGUAAAAGAUAAAUCAGGAGAUGGCUGAUUCAUAAUGGGUAAUAAAAUAAAUAGCAC
rnacentral:lncRNA from 1 species